GAACUUUUUGCCUUGCUGGCAAAUGAUAUUUUAAAAGCUCUCAGGACAGCUGUUAUCUCACAAUAGGUAUUGUACAAUUCAAACACACAGAACAUAUUAAUUUGUAAUUCGUAUAAUAAAGUUAGUUACAUUGUUGCUAUGCAAUUCACAACUUUAAAUAUUCAUGCCUAGUUAGUGUUCUACAGUAGUUCACACAUAAAAUAGAACAGAGGUAACUAAGCAUUUGAUAAGCCCUAUACACUAUAAAAGUCAUUCAUUCAUUCAUGUAGCUAGAUAAUUCUAAAGCUUAGUUAUCUUUGCUCUACUCUAUGCUUCAGUACACCAGAACAAUGAUACUUAAGGCUGCAUUCCAGUUUCAUAGGUGCGUACACGUGCGUACACGCACGUAAAAGUUGAAUUCGCUUGAAAUUUCAUAUAAGUGCAAAUAACCUUAACAAAUACACAUUAAAUCAUACACAAAACUGAAUGCUGUCCUUUUAUAAAUUUAGUUAUUUCAUAACGCGUAACUGGAAUGCAGCCUUAAGGCAUGUGACUUAUGUAAAGUUGCGAAUUGGAUAUAACCAAACUUAGACAAAUUUGUUUAUUGUCUAUAGUCCGGGGACUUGUUUGAUGAACUUUGUUUUAAUUUUUCCUUGAAUCCCAUUUUUGACAAAAACAAUUUUAUUAUAUGAACACAUAAACUUAACAAACAAAUAGCAGUCUUAAUCUCAAUCGCAUGCAGCAUAAUAUGCAAUAGCCCCAGCGACUAACACUCAAUAGAGCGUCUUGUUAUUAUAAUAAAUAUAAUAGCAAAUAAGGCUUUAGCGGAGGGCAGCAAGGACAACUGCCCCCCCCCCCGCCCCCGCCGAGAAAAUGUAACUAAUUUUAUAUAAAUUUGAUUCUGAUUGUAACAUAAUUAUGCAGUCAAGAAAUAAAGAUGUCAUGCAAAC